AUUGAACGCUGGCGGCAUGCUUUACACAUGCAAGUCGAACGGUAACAGGCCGCAAGGUGCUGACGAGUGGCGAACGGGUGAGUAAUGCAUCGGAACGUGCCCAGUCGUGGGGGAUAACGCAGCGAAAGCUGCGCUAAUACCGCAUACGAUCGAUGGAUGAAAGCGGGGGACCGUAAGGCCUCGCGCGAUUGGAGCGGCCGAUGUCAGAUUAGGUAGUUGGUGGGGUAAAGGCUCACCAAGCCAACGAUCUGUAGCUGGUCUGAGAGGACGACCAGCCACACUGGGACUGAGACACGGCCCAGACUCCUACGGGAGGCAGCAGUGGGGAAUUUUGGACAAUGGGCGCAAGCCUGAUCCAGCAAUGCCGCGUGCAGGAAGAAGGCCUUCGGGUUGUAAACUGCUUUUGUACGGAACGAAACGGCCCUGGUUAAUACCUGGGGCUAAUGACGGUACCAUAAGAAUAAGCACCGGCUAACUACGUGCCAGCAGCCGCGGUAACAC
rnacentral:rRNA from 1 species